rnacentral:rRNA from 1 species
UUAACACAUGCAAGUCGAACGCUGAAGCACCAGCUUGCUGGUGUGGAUGAGUGGCGAACGGGUGAGUAAUACGUGAGUAACCUGCCCUUGACUCUGGGAUAAGCCCGGGAAACUGGGUCUAAUACUGGAUGCUACAUGUCACCGCAUGGUGGUGUGUGGAAAGGGUUUACUGGUCUUGGAUGGGCUCACGGCCUAUCAGCUUGUUGGUGAGGUAAUGGCUCACCAAGGCGACGACGGGUAGCCGGCCUGAGAGGGUGACCGGCCACACUGGGACUGAGACACGGCCCAGACUCCUACGGGAGGCAGCAGUGGGGAAUAUUGCACAAUGGGCGAAAGCCUGAUGCAGCGACGCCGCGUGAGGGAUGACGGCCUUCGGGUUGUAAACCUCUUUCAGCAGGGAAGAAGCCACAAGUGACGGUACCUGCAGAAGAAGCGCCGGCUAACUACGUGCCAGCAGCCGCGGUAAUACGUAGGGCGCAAGCGUUGUCCGGAAUUAUUGGGCGUAAAGAGCUCGUAGGCGGUUUGUCGCGUCUGCUGUGAAAGCCCGGGGCUUAACCCCGGGUGUGCAGUGGGUACGGGCAGACUAGAGUGCAGUAGGGGAGACUGGAAUUCCUGGUGUAGCGGUGGAAUGCGCAGAUAUCAGGAGGAACACCGAUGGCGAAGGCAGGUCUCUGGGCUGUUACUGACGCUGAGGAGCGAAAGCAUGGGGAGCGAACAGGAUUAGAUACCCUGGUAGUCCAUGCCGUAAACGUUGGGCACUAGGUG